AAUCAUCAGACGCAAAACGGUACGGGAUUGAUGCUGUAUUGCGGCCCAUUGUCAAUGAGAUCCAACAUUUAGAGCAAAUUGAAAUUUGGGGAAACACCCUCAACCAACACAAAAAUUGCCCUGGCUAAUUCCUUGAUCCAGACAUUUCCAUGUCUCAGGGAUUCCUCUGACACUGGCAGGAACUCAUGGUUUGCCAAGGGCAGGAAGGCCAUGCCAUCAACUGGCUUCUUGGAGGAAAGGCUGCGCAACAUACGGAAAAGGUGAAGGGCCACGAAUCGUCCUCAACAAGUAGGAGAGGACUCGGUCUCACAAUUACAAUCACGUCCUACUUCUAUUCCAGCCUCACCCAUACCCCAGGAGAGAGCGGAGGAGAUGACUGAAUGGCUGAGGCAUAACUCGGCGCCGAGCAAAC